GCGAGUGAAGCGGCAAAAGCUCAAAUUUGAAAUCUGGCACCUUCGGUGUCCGAGUUGUAAUUUGAAGAAGCAACUUUGGGGCUAGUCCUUGUCUAUGUUCCUUGGAACAGGACGUCAUGGAGGGUGAGAAUCCCGUUUGGCGAGGAGUCUAGUCCUAUGUAAAGUGCUUUCGACGAGUCGAGUUGUUUGGGAAUGCAGCUCUAAGUGGGUGGUAAAUUCCAUCUAAAGCUAAAUAUUGGCGAGAGACCGAUAGCGAACAAGUACAGUGAUGGAAAGAUGAAAAGAACUUUGAAAAGAGAGUGAAAAAGUACGUGAAAUUGUUGAAAGGGAAGGGCAUUUGAUCAGACAUGGUGUUUUGCGACCCUCGCUCCUUGUGGGUGGGGAUCUCGCAGUUCACUGGGCCAACAUCAGUUUUGGCGGCAGGAUAAAUCUUUGGGAAUGUGGCUUUUCUUCGGAGAAGCGUUAUAGACCAGGGGAAUACUGCCAGCCGGGACUGAGGACUGCGACUUUUGUCAAGGAUGUUGGCAUAAUGGUUAUAUGCCGCCC
rnacentral:rRNA from 1 species